AAGUAAUUUCACUAAUUUUUUUUUCAGCAGAUGAUGAUCUGUGGUAAUACUUCUUGAUGUUCUCUGAGAAAUCUAUAUUACAAAUUGAGAUCAAGUUCUGAUGAAAAACAGGAGCACAUAGGACAAAGAAAAGUAGACAGCGUUUUGGCCUUGAGAUACCAGUGUGAAAUGGAAGAAAAACCUACCAUAAAGUGUACUACCUACCUGCAUAACCUUGAGGACAAUUACAGAUUACAUCUGAAUUCCAAGGAUCCUGAUAACAGGA